rnacentral:rRNA from 1 species
AGCGAACGCUGGCGGCAGGCCUAACACAUGCAAGUCGAACGAACCUUUCGGGGUUAGUGGCGGACGGGUGAGUAACACGUGGGAACGUGCCUUUAGGUUCGGAAUAACUCAGGGAAACUUGUGCUAAUACCGAAUGUGCCCUUCGGGGGAAAGAUUUAUCGCCUUUAGAGCGGCCCGCGUCUGAUUAGCUAGUUGGUUGAGGUAAUGGCUCACCAAGGCGACGAUCAGUAGCUGGUCUGAGAGGAUGAUCAGCCACAUUGGGACUGAGACACGGCCCAAACUCCUACGGGAGGCAGCAGUGGGGAAUCUUGCACAAUGGGCGAAAGCCUGACGCAGCCAUGCCGCGUGAAUGAUGAAGGUCUUAGGAUUGUAAAAUUCUUUCACCGGAGACGAUAAUGACGGUACCCGGAGAAGAAGCCCCGGCUAACUUCGUG